AAGGCGGAUUCCGAAAAGCCUUAAAAGAGUAGGAG
rfam:Fulvivirga imtechensis AK7 contig3, whole genome shotgun sequence.